UUUAUCCAUCCCCAGCUCUGUUCACAAGGAGCUUGAGACCCAAAACCCUCUCUAAACCCAAACGACCAAACACAAAAAUAAUCCAAUCCCAAUCCAAUCCUAUCUCUUCCUCCCUAACCCAAAAAAUGAUAAUCAGCAGCAGUUGCGUCCGUACAUUUUACCCGCGUCUUCCGUCCUCUUCGAAGAAGCGCGUCUUCCGGACGGCCGAGCUGCUGACCUUCACUCUCCGCCGCCGGCGUCUGACCACCGCCUGCUCUGUUUCGGCCACCAAGAAUAAAGAGAAGGAGAAGGUGAUAGUGGUAUCUGGGCCCACCGGUUCCGGGAAGAGCCGCCUCGCUUUGGAGCUCGCUAAGCGGCUCAAUGGCGAGAUUAUCAGCGCCGACUCCGUCCAGGUAUAUCGAGGUCUUGAUAUUGGAUCUGCCAAGCCUUCACUAAGUGAUAGACAGGAGGUGCCGCAUCAUCUUGUUGAUAUAUUGCACCCAUCUGAAGACUAUUCUGUUGGACGGUUUUUUGAGGAUGCCAGGCAAGCUACAAGAAGUAUUCUUGAUAAUGGCCGGGUUCCCAUAGUUACUGGUGGUACUGGAUUGUACUUGCGAUGGCUCAUAUACGGAAAACCAGAUGUUCCCAAAGCCUCUUUAGAGAUUGCAUCAGAAGUGUAUUCCGAGUUAGAGGUCCUACAGAAAAAUAAUGACUGGGAUGCAGCUGUGGAGUUAGUGGUCAAAGCAGGUGACCCAAAGGCUCAACUUUUGGCUGCCAAUGACUGGUAUCGCUUAAGACGCAGCCUUGAGAUUAUUAAGUGUACCGGAUCACCUCCAUCUGCAUUUCAAGUACCGUAUGAUUCUUUCCGGAAACAGUGUGAUUCUAGUGUAGUUGACGCAAAUGACAUUAGUCCUUCUACUGAUGUAGUGGAGGAAGUAAAAUCAAAGGAACUGGACUAUGAUUUUAUUUGCUUUUUCCUCUCAAGCAAGAGAGUUGAUCUUUAUAAGUCAAUCGACUACCGAUGUGAAGAUAUGCUGUCAGGAAGCGAUGGUAUCUUGUCUGAAGCUAAUUGGCUUCUUGAUUCGGGCCUUCUUCCAAAUUCAAAUUCAGCAACCAGAGCAAUUGGUUACAGACAAGCUAUGGAGUAUCUCUUGAUGUGUAGGCAGCAAGGAGGAACUUCUGCAAGAGAGUUCUACAACUUUUUAUCUGAAUUUCAGAAAGCAUCUAGAAAUUUUGCAAAACGGCAGUUAACGUGGUUUCGCAACGAGCAUAUCUAUCACUGGCUUGAUGCUUCCCAACCCUGGGAAACGGUGCUUGACUUCAUUUAUGAUGCAUACCAUGAAAACAGUGAAAUUUUGGUUGUGCCUGAAUCACUGAGAAUGAAGAAAGAGCUAACAAGCCAUCGAGAAGUUGCCGAACUAAAGGCUUAUCGACCUAAAAAUAGGCAUUUUAUCAGACGCGAAGAUUGUUCAGACAUUCUAGACUGGAUAAGAGAAACACAAUGCUCCAACAGCAAAUCGGAACUUGAUCAUUCACUUCAUUGAGGCUUGAUGUUUGCCAAACCAACCAAUGUUACAUGCUCAUCCGCCAUUCCACCGGAGUGGUGUUCAGUUUGUGUAUAUGUGAUCAGAAAUCUCACCAAACAACGCCGGAAAGGUGGCUUAACUUAAAACUGGUUGUUUGUGCCAAGAAGGCGUUCACCGAUGAAUCACUGCAGCUGCCCGAAGACUAUCGGAAAUCAUAUUCUUCAUGGAACUUUGGCAACCACCUAAAAUUCUUCUCCCCUCUCUGCAAAGUCGAGAACCCCCGAUAACCGGAUGUAUACAGUUCGGAGUGACAGAUGCAGUGGGGGCGUGGUGGGGGGACAGAUGCAGAGGUGGGG